UUUAUACACAAUUAUACAAUAUUGUAUAAGUAGGUAUAGAACAUAGAUCUAAACUGAUUACAUUGUGUAUAUGAGUGUAUAAACAUGUAUAAUAGUGUAUAAGAGGUGUGUAUACACCCAUAUACGAUAUUAUACACGAACUACCCCUGCACCUACAGGUUUCUCCACCUCCGGCGACAUCACCACCAUCGGCGCAGCCCGAGAUUUCUCGUCGGAACUCAUCAUCGGGGUUCCGUCGUACAACAACCACAACGCCGCCGCCGCUGCUCCAUCUCCGGCCAAACAACUUGGACCAAACCCAACGCCAGCAGUGGUUCUCGUUCACCGUCAAUGGUUGUUUCCCAGUGACGUAGUGGUGGUCGGAGGUUGAGAGAGAGAGAGAGAGAGAGAGAGAGAGAGCGAGAGUGGAUUAUUUUUUGUAAGAUUUCAAAAUAUGAGUCAAUUUUGGUAGCAUUGUUACCCUAAUUAACAUAGGGUGUAAUUUUCUCUAGAAUUUAAAUCCUCACUUUUCAAUGAUGUAGAUAUUUCUGAUUGUGGUGCUAAGCAAGUGACGUUAACUAGAGCUUCAAUAUGGUGACAUCCAAAUUUACUAGAAAAUAUUGUAGAUUGUGUCUCUUAUAAUUUACUCAAAUAAGAAAAUUCAGUAAACUGUCCUAAACUUGGAUAGAAGUUCUAUUUCUUUUCCUGUCAAAAGCUGUGGAAUCAGAACAACAAGUGGAGGUGUUCCAAUGUCUCUAAAUUCCCGAAUCAGUGUAGUUGCAAAACAGCACCUAAUGGUUGUACUAUAGUCUAUAGACGAGGCACUUAAUAGCAAAAAGGAAGCAGCAUCCUUGCUUUUAAUUGUAUCAUCCAACUUAUAAGUCCAUCUAAAAGGUGUGGGCGGGAGAGAGAAGCAAUUAGAUGGUUAUUUAAAGUAGCUGUGACUUGAGCUGAAGAGAUCUCGUUUUCUUGAUAGGAGAGAAUGGAAGCAAGUAAUGUGUUUGCAUCGCAAGAAGCUGAAGAACUAACUAGAGGCAUCUGCAAAGACUUUUGUACCUGCUGAUGUUCCAGCACCUCUUGAGGUGCCAAACGAAGAUCAAACACCUAAACCAGUUGGUCUUACACGAGAGCAAAUUAUAGCAAUUAAGGCUGCCAUUGUGAAUUCCCAAACUCUCGAGAAGGUGGCCAGACUUGAACAGGCUUUGAAGUCAGGCCAGCUUCCUGCAGAUGUCAAUAUUGGUGAUUAUGAUGUUUCUGCUAAAAAGGAAGAUGCCACAGAAGAUAAGAUGGAGUAGACAACUGGGGUUAUUCAGUAUGCGCGUUGGUUUGAGAUGGAUCAUUCAUAUGCCCUCGCUGUCCAGUCAUAGACAGGAUGAAAUUCUGUGGAGGAGGUUUAUCUUUUGGAAACAGAAUUAAUUAAUGAUGUCAUUUGAUUUGAACUCUAAAGUUGAGUUUCAGUCUCUUCCAACCCGAAAUGAGGACUUCAAAUUACAAAUACAAGGGGAGUUCUCUGUAGUAUUUCAAGCAUCUCACUUUCCUGGUGGUUAUGGGGGUGUUAAAUUUCUGUUCUUUGCUGUUUAGGAUACCUGAAAUCUUCAAAUC